rnacentral:rRNA from 1 species
UACGUAGGGGGCUAGCGUUGUCCGGAAUCAUUGGGCGUAAAGCGCGUGUAGGCGGUCCGGUAAGUCCGCUGUGAAAGUCGGGGGCUCAACCCUCGAAUGCCGGUGGAUACUGUCGGGCUAGAGUGCGGAAGAGGCGAGUGGAAUUCCUGGUGUAGCGGUGAAAUGCGCAGAAAUCAGGAGGAACACCAAUUGCGAAGGCAGCUCGCUGGGACGUUACUGACGCUGAGACGCGAAAGCGUGGGGAGCAAACAGG